UAGCAAGUUUGCGUGCAUAUCGUUGCUGAAUCUUGAAGAGAAAAAUAACGUACACAGCUCAUAGUAACGAGAGGAGGAAGAUUAGGGUGAUUGCAUUAUUAAAUCUCGUCGCCGACAAGCGCCAUUAGUAAAGCAUAAACACCAGUGGCACCAUUCUAUCCACGCUAAUUCAACUACGCCCACCCGCCGCAUACACCGUUUCUUGCUUUCUUUUCCUCCAAGAUCUUCAUAUUUAAAUCUUUUCCCCAACUAAAGAUCAAGUUCAAGUAUGCUACACAAUAAUUUAUCAUCUCCUUUUUGUAGUAGUGAUACUACUAGUUUGCAAGAACAAUUUGCAACUCAUAAUUAAUCUGGACCAAAAAUAUCUCUACAAAACAAAUUCGAGAGCAACUCAAAGUUGAAAGGAACUCUCGCUCUAAUUAAUCUGUACAUCUACACACAACGUUGUUAAAUUAAUUGGCUUUGAUGGUCUCAGGCGGCGGAGGAACGCCGCGGAGUCUACUUGAUCCUCGCCGCCGGCGCGGUCGGCGUCGUCGGAGAGAACCCGACGGCGCGGCACUUAACGUCCAUCCCGGCGGCGUUGGGCAUCGGCAUUGCUCCGGCGGCCGACGGCGAGGUGGCCGUCGACCUCUUGUAGGGGCCGAGCC
rnacentral:lncRNA from 1 species